rnacentral:tRNA from 1 species
GGAGGUUAAAAUCCCCCCUACUGC